rnacentral:rRNA from 1 species
AUUGAACGCUGGCGGCAUGCCUAACACAUGCAAGUCGAACGGCAGCACAAUAAAGAUUUCGGUCUUUAUGGGUGGCGAGUGGCGGACGGGUGAGUAACGCGUAGGAAUCUGUCCUGGAGAGUGGGAUAACCCGAGGAAACUCGGGCUAAUACUGCAUGACAUUGAGAGAUCAAAAGCAGGGGACCGAAAGGCCUUGCGCUCUGGGGUGAGCCUACGUCGGAUUAGCUAGUUGGGGGGGUAAAGGCCUACCAAGGCGACGAUCCGUAGCUGGUCUGAAAGGAUGACCAGCCCCACUGGGACUGGGACACGGCCCAGACUCCUACGGGAGGCAGCAGUGGGGAAUCUUGGACAAUGGGGGAAACCCUGAUCCAGCGAUGCCGCGUGUGUGAAGAAGGCCUUCGGGUUGUAAAGCACUUUAGGUGGGGAAGAAAGGUAGCGAGUGAAUAACUUUCUGCUGUGACGGUACCCACAGAAUAAGCACCGGCUAACUCUGUGCCAGCAGCCGCCGUAA